rnacentral:rRNA from 1 species
GAGAUCAAAGAAGUUCGCGCGGGCGACAUCGCGGCUGCUAUCGGCCUGAAAGACGUGACUACCGGUGACACCCUGUGUGAUCCGGAAAACCCGAUCAUUCUGGAACGUAUGGAAUUCCCUGAGCCGGUAAUCUCCAUCGCGGUAGAACCGAAAACCAAAGCUGACCAGGAAAAAAUGGGUCUGGCUCUGGGCCGUCUGGCGAAAGAAGACCCGUCGUUCCGCGUAUGGACUGAUGAAGAAUCUAACCAGACCAUCAUCGCUGGUAUGGGUGAACUUCACCUAGAUAUCAUCGUUGACCGUAUGAAGCGUGAAUUCAACGUUGAAGCGAACGUGGGUAAACCUCAGGUUGCUUACCGCGAAGCGAUUCGCGCGAAAGUUACCGACAUCGAAGGUAAACACGCGAAACAGUCUGGUGGUCGCGGUCAGUAUGGUCAUGUUGUUAUCGACAUGUACCCGCUGGAGCCGGGCUCUAACCCGAAAGGUUACGAGUUCAUCAACGACAUCAAAGGUGGUGUAAUUCCUGGCGAGUACAUCCCGGCCGUUGAUAAAGGCAUCCAGGAGCAGCUGAAAUCUGGCCCGCUGGCGGGUUAUCCGGUAGUUGAUCUCGGUGUGCGUCUGCACUUCGGUUCUUACCAUGACGUUGACUCCUCUGAGCUGGCGUUUAAACUGGCUGCGUCUAUCGCCUUUAAAGAAGGCUUUAAGAAAGCAAAACCAGUUCUGCUUGAGCCGAUCAUGAAGGUUGAAGUAGAAACACCUGAAGAGAAUACCGGUGACGUUAUCGGCGACCUUAGCCGCCGUCGUGGUAUGCUCAAAGGUCAGGAAUCUGAAGUUACAGGCGUUAAGAUCCACGCUGAAGUACCGCUGUCUGAAAUGUUCGGAUAUGCAACUCAGCUGCGUUCUCUGACCAAAGGUCGCGCAUCGUACACUAUGGAAUUCCUGAAGUAUGAUGAUGCGCCGAACAACGUUGCUCAGGCCGUAAUCGAAGCCCGUGGUAAAUAAGCCGCAGGGUUAAAAACCAAAAUCCCGUGCUCUCUCCUGAAGGGGAGAGCGCUAUAGUAAGGAAUAUAGCCGUGUCUAAAGAAAAAUUUGAACGUACAAAACCGCACGUUAACGUCGGCACCAUCGGCCACGUUGACCACGGUAAAACUACCCUGACCGCUGCAAUCACCACCGUACUGGCUAAAACCUACGGCGGUGCUGCUCGUGCAUUCGACCAGAUCGAUAACGCUCCGGAAGAAAAAGCGCGUGGUAUCACCAUCAACACUUCUCACGUUGAAUACGAUACCCCGACCCNGUAGGUAUGUGUUCCAGGUAAAUCCGGUUCACUUUAACACUGAGGCGUGACGACGAGGCACUACGGUGCUGAAGCAACAAAUGCCCUGCUUCCAGGAAAAGCCUCUAAGCAUCAGGUAACAUCAAAUCGUACCCCAAACCGACACAGGUGGUCAGGUAGAGAAUACCAAGGCGCUUGAGAGAACUCGGGUGAAGGAACUAGGCAAAAUGGUGCCGUAACUUCGGGAGAAGGCACGCUGACACGUAGGUGAAGUGAUUUACUCACGGAGCUGAAGUCAGCCGAAGAUACCAGCUGGCUGCAACUGUUUAUUAAAAACACAGCACUGUGCAAACACGAAAGUGGACGUAUACGGUGUGACGCCUGCCCGGUGCCGGAAGGUUAAUUGAUGGGGUCAGCGCAAGCGAAGCUCCUGAUCGAAGCCCCGGUAAACGGCGGCCGUAACUAUAACGGUCCUAAGGUAGCGAAAUUCCUUGUCGGGUAAGUUCCGACCUGCACGAAUGGCGUAAUGAUGGCCAGGCUGUCUCCACCCGAGACUCAGUGAAAUUGAACUCGCUGUGAAGAUGCAGUGUACCCGCGGCAAGACGGAAAGACCCCGUGAACCUUUACUAUAGCUUGACACUGAACAUUGAGCCUUGAUGUGUAGGAUAGGUGGGAGGCUUUGAAGUGUGGACGCCAGUCUGCAUGGAGCCGACCUUGAAAUACCACCCUUUAAUGUUUGAUGUUCUAACGUGGACCCGUGAUCCGGGUUGCGGACAGUGUCUGGUGGGUAGUUUGACUGGGGCGGUCUCCUCCUAAAGAGUAACGGAGGAGCACGAAGGUUGGCUAAUCCUGGUCGGACAUCAGGAGGUUAGUGCAAUGGCAUAAGCCAGCUUGACUGCGAGCGUGACGGCGCGAGCAGGUGCGAAAGCAGGUCAUAGUGAUCCGGUGGUUCUGAAUGGAAGGGCCAUCGCUCAACGGAUAAAAGGUACUCCGGGGAUAACAGGCUGAUACCGCCCAAGAGUUCAUAUCGACGGCGGUGUUUGGCACCUCGAUGUCGGCUCAUCACAUCCUGGGGCUGAAGUAGGUCCCAAGGGUAUGGCUGUUCGCCAUUUAAAGUGGUACGCGAGCUGGGUUUAGAACGUCGUGAGACAGUUCGGUCCCUAUCUGCCGUGGGCGCUGGAGAACUGAGGGGGGCUGCUCCUAGUACGAGAGGACCGGAGUGGACGCAUCACUGGUGUUCGGGUUGUCAUGCCAAUGGCACUGCCCGGUAGCUAAAUGCGGAAGAGAUAAGUGCUGAAAGCAUCUAAGCACGAAACUUGCCCCGAGAUGAGUUCUCCCUGAGACUUUAGGUCUCCUGAAGGAACGUUGAAGACGACGACGUUGAUAGGCCGGGUGUGUAAGCGCAGCGAUGCGUUGAGCUAACCGGUACUAAUGAACCGUGAGGCUUAACCUU